rnacentral:lncRNA from 1 species
AUUUCCAGGUCUGGACUGGGUUAUCUCUGCAUCCCUCUUGGUGUAAUGCUGUUGUCAGCAAGCACAAGCUGAAACAGCGCGCAAAUUGUUUUAAUUUGCACUGGGGACUGUGUUUGGCUCUGUGAAAAGGAUGCAUCUUUGAACACGCCCUGCCUCUACUGAGCUGAGUGCUCCUCGUUUACAGCUCUACAAUACAAGUAUAUACUUGGUCAACAGGAUCAGAGCUGGGCCUAAAAGAUCUCCUCCUGUUGUGCUGCGCUAUUUGCCAAGGCAGGCAGAGCCCCUGAGACUCUCUAGGAGCCCUUUGGUUUCCAGGGGUGGCAGAGAACUGAAUGUCCCUCAAGGCAUCGGAAAUAGCGUGGCUCAAGACGUUGCAGGUAGGAGUUAAAUUCUCUCCUGUCACUUCCCUGAACACGAAAUAAGGGUCUGCCCUUUGUGCCUUGUGUGGUGGAUGAUAUCUGCAAAACGUAC